GCAAGUUGCUUUGGCAGAUAUCAUUCUCAUUAUAAAACAGACUUGGUUCCAGAAGAAGAUGUAAAGAAAUUAAGAACGACAAUUAGAUCCAUAAAUGGACUAGGACAAAUCUUAGAAACACAAAGAUCAAGGUACUUUAAAAAAGCUAUUCCUAUUAAUAACAAAUCAUUUUAGUUAUUAAUAAUAAACAUUAAGUAAUUGACAAAUAUGCUUGAUUCUAAUAUAAGAAAGAUCUAAAUGCAUUUAAAAAGAAUUGGAUCCAAAAUGUUGUUUGGAAUGCUCUUAAUAAGUUAGUUUGGCAUAUUUGGCUAGUACAUUUCCCUGUCUUCAAAACUAAGAUUACAAGGCCAUGAUAACACUGUGUAAGUGUUUGCUUAAUGAGGAAGAAAAGACUUCCAAACACUCGAGAGGGUAACUCAGUACAGAAAUCUGAAGUAUAUUGAGGAAUCUUAAUUUGAAGUGUUUAAAUGGCUUUUUAAUAUUUAAAAAGCCUUCUUAGUGUUUUAUAGUUGCCAAAAAAUACAUGGAGUCUUUAUCUUGAAGUUCCUGACAAAUUCUUUUAUUAAAUUUUGACUUUCAUUUUCUCUA
rnacentral:sRNA from 1 species